rnacentral:tRNA from 1 species
GUGGUGGCUCAGUGGUAGAGUGCUUCCCUAGCAUGCGUGAGGCACUGGGUUCGAUUCUCAGGACCACA